rnacentral:rRNA from 1 species
UAGUCCACGCCCUAAACGAUGCUUACUCGACAUGUGUGAUAUACAAUACGUGUCCAAGGGAAACCGCUAAGUAAGCCACCUGGGGAGUACGUUCGCAAGAAUGAAACUCAAAGGAAUUGACGGGGGUCCGCACAAGCAGUGGAGCAUGUGGUUCAAUUCGAUGAUACGCGAGGAACCUUACCUAGGCUCGAAUGCUUCUGCAUAGACUAGAGAUAGUCUUUUCCUUCGGGACUGAAAGCAAGGUGCUGCAUGGCUGUCGUCAGCUCGUGCCGUGAGGUGUUGGGUUAAGUCCCGCAACGAGCGCAACCCUUGUCUUUAGUUGCCAUCAUUAAGUUGGGCACUUUAAAGAGACUGCCGGUGACAAACCGGAGGAAGGUAAGGAUGACGUCAAGUCAGCAUGCCCCUUAUGCUCUGGGCUACACACGUGCUACGAUGGCCGUGACAAAGAGUUGCUACUUUGUGAAAACAAGCUAAUCUCAUAAACGCGGCCUCAGUUCGG